rnacentral:rRNA from 1 species
AAACAGAUGCUAAUACCGAAUAAACUUAGUAUCGCAUGAUACCAGGUUAAAAGGCGCUACGGCGUCACCUAGAGAUGGAUCCGCGGUGCAUUAGUUAGUUGGUGGGGUAAAGGCUUACCAGACAUGAUGCAUAGCCGAGUUGAGAGACUGAUCGGCCACAUUGGGACUGAGACACGGCCCAAACUCCUACGGGAGGCUGCAGUAGGGAAUCUUCCACAAUGGGCGAAAGCCUGAUGGAGCAACGCCGCGUGUGUGAUGAAGGCUUUCGGGUCGUAAAGCACUGUUGUAUGGGAAGAACAGCUAGAGUAGGGAAUGACUUUAGUUUGACGGUACCAUACCAGAAAGGGACGGCUAAAUACGUG